GAUGAAGAACGCAGCGAAAUGCGAUAAGUAAUGUGAAUUGCAGAAUUCAGUGAAUCAUCGAAUCUUUGAACGCACAUUGCGCCCGCCAGUAUUCUGGCGGGCAUGCCUGUUCGAGCGUCAUUUCAACCAUCAAGCCCUGCUUGCGUUGGGGUCCUGCGGCUGCCCGCAGGCCCUGAAAACCAGUGGCGGGCUCGCUAGUCACACCGAGCGCAGUAAUACAUCUCGCUUUGGGCGUGCGGCGGGUUCUUGCCGUUAAACACCCCCUUUUUACCAAGGUUGACCUCGUAUCAGGUAGGAAUACCCGCUGAACUUAAGCAUAUCAAUAAGCGGAGGA
rnacentral:misc_RNA from 1 species